rfam:Rhodnius prolixus Rhodnius_prolixus-3.0.3-127.15, whole genome shotgun sequence.
AUAUUGGUUUUCCUCAAAACCACUAACAUCUACAACUUGAUUUAA